GACGAACGCUGGCGGCGUGCUUAACACAUGCAAGUCGAGCGGUAAGGCCCUUUCGGGGGUACACGAGCGGCGAACGGGUGAGUAACACGUGGGUGACCUGCCCUCAGCUCUGGGAUAAGCCUGGGAAACUGGGUCUAAUACCGGAUAUUCUCUUUGCCUCGCAUGGGGUGUGGAGGAAAGUCCUGGGCUUAAUUGUCUGGGCUCGGCUGGGGGAUGGGGCCCGCGGCCUAUCAGCUUGNGGUGGGGUGAUGGCCUACCAAGGCGACGACGGGUAGCCGGCCUGAGAGGGCGACCGGCCACACUGGGACUGAGACACGGCCCAGACUCCUACGGGAGGCAGCAGUGGGGAAUAUUGCGCAAUGGGCGGAAG
rnacentral:rRNA from 1 species